rnacentral:rRNA from 1 species
AUGGCUGACGAGCAGGCGCUCAUCAUCGACGUCGACCUCAGCCACAGCAACGUUGAGUCCUCCUCGGCGUCGGCGGUGAUGGCGACCAAGGGCAUCCGGUGGGUGCUGUGCCUGAUCUGCUCCUUCGGCCUCGCCACCGCCUUCAUGUUGCUUGCCGCGGCCAUCUACAAGGCUCCGGCCGGCGUCUUCGAAGGCCACCGGUGCGCCUACUACGUCUCCGUCAUCUCCUCCGGCGUCAUGGGCCUGGCGGAGGCGUGCGCCGCGGUCAUCUGGCUGUCCAGGGCAGCAGACGAAGGCCCGUGGCAGCGGCUCGCAUGCCGUGACUUGUUGCGCUUGGUUCAUCUCCGGUCCUCCUGA